ACACAGAGAGAGGCAGAAGCAGGCUCCAUGCAGAGAGCCCGACGUGGGACUCGAUCCCCGGUCUCCAGGAUCAGCCCUGGGCUGCAGGCGGCGCUAAACCGCUGCACCACCAGGGCUGCCCUGCAAGUCUUCUCUACCCAUUGCAUACUUUAGUUACAAAUUAAGAAACAGCAUAAUCCCAACUGCAUCUUUAAGAGAAGUGCAAAUUCAAUAUGUUAUUACCCAAUACUAGAGGCAGCUGAUAUAUAUGUCUGUCUACCUAUCUGUCAUCUUUUAUUUUCUCCCUCACAGUACAGGAGUAGCAUCUGGAGGCAGGAGUAAAUAUUAUCUGCUGUGUUAAACCGAAAGGUCAUUCAUCAAUCUGAAUAUUUUUGUGGUGGAGAUUCUUAUCACCUAACUCAAGAAUCGCAAUGUGAGAGAAAAGCCAAGAUCCUAUUCUGGCAUGGAGACUUUUGGCACUGUGGAGGGGUUAAACUGCUCUAGGAGAAAUAAUCAUAUCCUGCAGUUCCAACCCAAGAAAAUCCCACACAUUUCUCAGAAGCCUGGGUGUGUGAAGACAGCAUUGAAAGACACGUUCAUUCACUGAGGCUCAUGAAGACCCAUCUGGCAGGAUCUUGUCAGCCAGUGCCAGCUGGUGAGGCAAAUGGUGAUGGGGACUCCCAACGGUGUCUUCCCAACCUGGCAUCAAAUUUGGAUCACUUUUUGGUGUAUACCAUGCAAAAUCUCAAGCCGACUUCAUGCUGAGUAUGCAGCCUGAGGCAGGGCUCAAUCUCACGACCCUGAGAUCAUGACCUGAGCCGAAAUCAAGUGUCAGAUGCUUAACUGACUGAACCACCUGAUAUGUCCUGAUAUUCAUACAUUUAAAACAAGGAAUCCUACGAUGGUUAUAUAAAAUAUUUCUAGUUUUUCUUCUGGAUGCAUGAUGGACCAAGAUGGCUUAUUCAUCUCCAGAAAUCACACCUAGCUGGUGGCAAGGAGGUGGUGAUGAGCACAUUCCAAUCCUUUUAGGAUGGUCUUGGAAGUAUCAUAAACCAAUUCUUUAUAUCCUAUUGAUGAACAUCUGAGAGUGUGAAAGAAAGUGGAAGAACUGACCUGGAAUAAAAGCACAAGAGCAGGGGCAUGGAAGCCAAGCAAGUGGAUACUUUAAGAAAGGAACAAGGGGGAUGCCUUGUGGCUCAGCGGUUGAGUGUCUGCCUUUGGCUCAGGGCAUGAUCCCAGGUCCGGGAAUCAAGUCCUGCGUUGGGCUUCCUGUGAGGAGCCUACUUCGCUCUGUCGAUGUCUCUGCUUCUCUGUCUGUAUCUCUCAUGAAUAAAUUAAUAAAAUCUUUAAAAAAAAGAAAGGAACAAGGGGUCAAUGGUGCAUAAUGUAGCAGAGAGUGCAAAGUGUUCUUUGGGUAGUCCAAGUGAGGAGUGACCACUAUGAUUA